CGUCCUACGGAUUCCUAGGGCUGUACAGUGCGCGUCUUCUGAUUAGACGGUUUCUUACAGUCUCGACAUUACGGUAUGUCAUAAUCGUUAUGUACAAUGGUGAUUUAAUUCAUGGUUUUGGAUUGUAGCUUAUGAUACCUUAUGGUGUGGAACGACUCGCCCGUUACAACCAUGAGUUACCAAAUGUCGUCAAGUCAGUCUAGACCCAUGUCCCAUGGAAAUUACCAGGGACCUGGUGAUCUACCAAUGGGAUCUGCGAAAGAGCAGACAUUGAUGUGGCAACAGAACUCCUACAUGGGAGAUUCUGGUAUCCAUUCUGGCGCUGCCACUCAAGCACAUUCUCUGUCUGGCAAAGAAGAUGAUGAGAUGGAAGGAGAUCCACUAAUGUUUGAUCUAGAUCAGGGUUAUGCCCAGGGAUUUACACAGGAUCAAGUCGAUGAAAUGAAUCAGCAGCUGAGUCACACUCGAUCCCAGCGUGUACGAGCGGCCAUGUUUCCGGAAACAUUAGAAGAAGGUAUUGAAAUACCAUCAACCCAAUUUGAUCCAGCCCAACCGACAGCAGUGCAACGUCUUGCUGAACCAAGUCAAAUGCUAAAACAUGCUGUUGUCAAUCUGAUCAACUACCAGGAUGAUGCGGAUCUGGCGACUCGUGCGAUUCCUGAAUUGAUCAAGUUAUUGAACGAUGAAGAUCAAGUAGUGGUUUCACAAGCAGCCAUGAUGGUCCACCAGCUUUCAAAGAAGGAAGCCUCCCGUCACGCUAUCAUGAACAGUUCUCAAAUGGUAGCUGCCUUGGUGCGAGCCAUUUCUAACAGUGACGACCUGGAAUCCACCAAAGCUGCAGUUGGCACAUUGCACAAUUUAUCCCACCACAGACAGGGUCUUUUGGCCAUUUUCAAGAGCGGUGGCAUACCAGCCCUGGUCAAAUUACUCAGCUCACCGAUGGAGUCUGUUCUGUUUUAUGCUAUCACUACCCUGCACAACUUAUUACUUCAUCAAGAUGGAUCAAAGAUGGCUGUUCGUCUUGCUGGAGGAUUGCAAAAGAUGGUUGCUCUACUUCAACGUAACAAUGUCAAAUUCCUUGCCAUCGUUACAGACUGUCUGCAGAUUCUUGCUUAUGGAAACCAGGAAAGCAAGCUCAUCAUCUUGGCUUCGCAAGGACCCAUUGAACUGGUGCGCAUCAUGCGUUCUUACGACUAUGAGAAGCUUCUUUGGACGACAUCUAGAGUUUUGAAAGUGCUUUCGGUAUGCUCCAGCAACAAGCCUGCCAUUGUUGAAGCAGGUGGUAUGCAAGCACUAGCAAUGCAUUUGGGAAAUCCGAGUCAGAGACUCGUUCAAAAUUGUUUAUGGACACUGCGUAAUCUUUCCGACGCGGGGACAAAGGUGGACGGUCUUGAAAAUCUUCUCCAGGGUCUGGUGCAGGUUCUUGCUUCCAGCGAUGUAAACGUCGUUACAUGUGCUGCAGGCAUUCUGUCCAAUCUAACGUGCAAUAAUCAGCGUAACAAGGUUACAGUGUGUCAAGUUGGCGGAGUUGACGCUCUGGUACGCACCAUCGUGAAUGCCGGUGAUCGUGAGGAGAUCACAGAACCUGCAGUAUGCGCUCUGCGCCACCUGACCUCCCGUCACGUAGAAGCUGAAAUGGCGCAGAAUUCAGUUCGCCUAAAUUACGGUAUUCAGGUGAUAGUGAAGCUGCUGCAUCCGCCUUCGCGUUGGCCUCUAGUGAAGGCCGUCAUUGGUCUGAUUCGCAAUUUGGCACUUUGUCCUGCCAAUCAUGCUCCACUUCGAGAACACGGCGCCAUUCAUCACCUCGUCAGACUUCUGAUGCGCGCUUUUCAAGAUACGCAAAGACAACGGUCGUCCGUCGCCAGUACCGGCAGUCAACAGGCAUCCGGUGCGUAUGCCGACGGCGUCCGCAUGGAAGAGAUAGUCGAGGGUACCGUAGGUGCUCUUCACAUCCUCGCCAGAGAGUCUCACAAUAGAGCCAUCAUCCGAUCUCAGAACGUCAUUCCGAUCUUCGUUCAGUUGCUGUUCAACGAGAUUGAGAAUAUUCAGCGCGUGGCAGCGGGUGUGCUCUGUGAGCUGGCAGCCGACAAGGAGGGUGCCGAGAUGAUAGAACAAGAGGGUGCCACAGCACCCCUAACGGAAUUGCUGCACUCGAGAAAUGAGGGUGUCGCUACAUACGCAGCCGCCGUUCUAUUCCGCAUGAGCGAAGACAAGCCUCAGGAAUACAAGAAGCGACUGUCCAUGGAGCUGACCAAUUCCCUAUUCCGCGAGGACACCAAUCUGUGGAAUAAUGCUGACUUCAGCAUGGGUCCAGACUUACAGUAUGAAAGAAGUAGUGUAGAAUCCACUAUCGUCCCGUGUCCAUUAUUCCAGUACGCACAGCCCAUACAUUCUUUCACAGUGAAAAAGACUAGAGGGGAGAGAAACAAGAAAUAGAAAUGUAUACACAGAUGCUUCACUGACGGUCGCUUCUCGAAAAGAAGCUUCGAACCUUUGACACGGAAACACCGCCUCGAUAAGCUUUCGCAUCGAGGACGUCAGUGUAAACGUACGCCUAGCGGAGCGACGGCUGGUAGAUCGUGUAAACGAAUAGAGAAUAAUUAUCUUUGUCCGAGUCACAGACAGUUUGCAAGCAACACGCAUUGAGAAUCCCCGCAUGAGCCAAGAAUGCAUUUUGAGACCCUCCUUUUAUAAAGUGUCGCACGAAAGCGAGGAGAGAAGCCCAAGAGAUUAUAAAGAAAGUGAAAAGGGAAAAAAUCUUAAUACGUAUCAGCGGAAACUCUACGCACUACUUUUCGAUACUAGUAUCGGCCAAGUAACGUGACCCCGACGUCAUAUGACCCCCAGGACGUAUACCUACGCAUCCAGCUUUACGUUAAACCGAUAAGUUUUGUGUUGACCUAUGCUACCUAAUCUCCAGGACAUGCUUGGCCCUGAUCAAGGCUAUGAUGGUAUGUAUGGACAAGGACCCCCUAGUGUACACAGCAGCCACGGAGGUCGAGGUUAUCAGCCACAAGGUUAUGACCAGAUACCAAUAGACUCGAUGCAAGGAUUGGAGAUCGGCGGGGGAUCGACGUACGGAGCGAUGGACACGAUGGAUGUGGCGCACGAGGGCGAUCUGAGCUUUGAUCAUCUGGAGGAGCUACCAGCACCACCUCAGGAUAACAAUCAGGUCGCGGCCUGGUACGACACCGACCUAUAGGCGAUUACAACGGCCGAAGCCAGGGCAAGAAUGAGAUCGUCGACUCCUUCCCUCCUCGAUGGAACAAUCGAAAUUUUAACUCGUGACGUUUCGUUUGUGAAAGCGUUGUCAUGAUCUUUUUUUUUUUUUUUUUUUUUUUUUUUUUUUUUUUUUUUUUUUUUUUUUUUUUUUUUUUUUUUUUUUUUUUUUUUUUUUUUUUUUGGUAUUUUUAAUUAAUUUUUUCAUUCGUUUAUCUAUUCUCCCUACGUACGGACGCUCGUUACUGCGGUUCGUCCUAUGAUCCGCCCUCUUCUUCGUUUACUCAAUCGGGGCGCCAUACUGCUGCAAGGCACAGUGGCACGAAAUUUUAAAUAUAGGCAAACGAUUAUCACUAGGAGACGAACAAUUGUACUUUCAAUAUCGUAAAGACUGUAUGGCCAGGGUUAUCAUGCUUUAUGUGUCUAUUUACCGUAAUCGCAAGAUUUUACGAUUCUGACCUGUGACCCCCUUCUCUGAAGACCCCCCCGAACUUUUGUUCCGAUCUACAUUUUUUUGAACUAUUUCACGGCUCGUAGAGAUAUGUAACUAGAGGUAGAUAAUUAUUCUACAAUGUAUUUAUGCAACGCGUGCGUGCUAUACGUAAAUUAAUGAUACGGCUCCGCGACGACGACCUUAUCGAAUGACCGUUGCAAUUCGCGUUCGUCGGCUUAUUAAGACGAAUCUGCGUACAUGGAUGAACGGUGAAGAAACAUUUUAUACGUUCUUUUUUACCGAAUCAUCAAGAACCCGUCGAUACUUUAGGUAACAUGCGCAGACUAACGAGCGAGACAAAUGCAGAGACUUGUUUUUAUUUAUUUCAUUCUUUUUUUUUUUAUAUAAAUAAUAAAACGUUUCGAUAGAGUGACGUACGGAGUGAUUAUAAUUAUAUAAUUGCCAUGCGGCUGUCAAUACUGGAAAUAAUAAAAUAGUGCGAAUACCUUCAAACGAAAUAAUUCACGAUUGCGUCACCGGGACAGUCUCGCUCUGAAAAUGAAAUGAGUCUGCCAGUUUAAUUGUCUUUUUUUUUCUCUUUUUUUUUUUAAUGAUUUUUAUCAUCAAAGACGUCGCCAUUGUUGUGCGUGCGAAAAGUCAGAGCGGUUGACAUGAAACUUUUUCAUGUAUUAUCUAGUAUUUCGAAGCUAGCAUAACGUUUUGUAACGAUGCCUCGCGUUCGUUCGACAAGUAUUGAUAGUUUAAGGUACAAGAUGACAGACCGUUUCCGGUCGCGCGAAACUGAAAGAGGAGGAAGGAAACAGAAAUUGAAACGAGCAAUUCGAACGUUGGAAUAGCAUCGCACAUCACGUUAGGGACCAUCCUCUCUCUUUCUCUCUCUCUCUCUCUCUCUCUCUCUCUCUCUCAUUCAUAAACCAUUCGUCGAAUUUUUAUUUAAUAAAGUGAUCUAUACGAUAUGAACUCAUAUCAAUGGACGGAAACAAAUACCAGAUCGAUUAGCAAUGUCAAUGCUCGGUGAUCAAUAAUCCCAACCGAUCUGCAUAAACCCGAUCGUCAAUUUGUUUCGAUCCGUUGUCAUUCUUUUAUUGUAACUAACAUGUGUACACGCCUCACUAACCGGAAGUUACCCAGCGGUCCUAGGAAAAUUUCAAUCGCGUGGCUACAUGUACAUUUUCACUGCAAGUCAGAUAUUUUAUUUGCAGUAUCGAAUAUUCAUGGCUCUCGUACCUUCGUUAAUUUUUUUUUUAUUCGAUACGGCGAGCGACCAUCUUGUUUAUGUUUCCCUUUCGCAUUUCGUAUUCGCAAUCGCGUAAGAUCACCGCGAGAGUGCCGCGAGGAUGCGACGAGAGUUUCGGCUAGCGACGUAAAAAAAGAUAAGAGAAAAUCAGAAUUGCAAUGCAAAACUACGAAAAGCAAAUGGGGGAAAAAACAAAAAUGGCGCUCGUUUUUAUACCCGGCGCGAACGGGCUACUACGAACAUGAAGAACUAACUAUUUAUAUCGUUAAUCCGAGUAUUAGUCGUUCGAGUAUCAAUAAACAAUAUGAAUAAGGUAUAAACGAUAUAAAAAGAAAAACUUUCGCAUUACGCAUUUUACAGGGUAGUAACGUUUAAUUUUUAACGUACACGUAUGAAGUACCUACGUAAAGCAACUCUGCCGUGGGUAUGCGAGGCGUAUGGAUCAAUGGAAGAAAAAUAAUGACGUCGCGUCCCUCGGCAUCGAGAUGUAUUAGAAUUUAUUGAUAAGAAGACACGUAAUUCGUACACACAUGUAUAUGUAUCGUUUAAUUGUCCAUAUGAAAUAAAGUAUACGAGUAAGUCUAAAAAAA